GACGAACGCUGGCGGCGUGCUUAACACAUGCGAGUCGAACGGAAAGGCCCUGCUUUUGUGGGGUGCUCGAGUGGCGAACGGGUGAGUAACACGUGAGUAACCUGCCCUUGACUUUGGGAUAACUUCAGGAAACUGGGGCUAAUACCGGAUAGGAGCUCCUGCUGCAUGGUGGGGGUUGGAAAGUUUCGGCGGUUGGGGAUGGACUCGCGGCUUAUCAGCUUGUUGGUGGGGUAGUGGCUUACCAAGGCUUUGACGGGUAGCCGGCCUGAGAGGGUGACCGGCCACAUUGGGACUGAGAUACGGCCCAGACUCCUACGGGAGGCAGCAGUGGGGAAUAUUGCACAAUGGGCCGAAGCCUGAUGCAGCAACGCCGCGUGCGGGAUGACGGCCUUCGGGUUGUAAACCGCUUUCGCCUGUGACGAAGCGUGAGUGACGGUAAUGGGUAAAGAAGCACCGGCUAACUACGUG
rnacentral:rRNA from 1 species